UACGUAGGGGGCAAGCGUUGUCCGGAUUUAUUGGGCGUAAAGCGCGUGUAGGCGGCCUCGCAGGUCCGCUGUGAAAACUCGAGGCUCAACCUCGAGCUGUCGGUGGAAACCGCGUGGCUAGAGUCCGGAAGAGGGGACUGGAAUUCCCGGUGUAGCGGUGGAAUGCGCAGAUAUCGGGAGGAACACCCGUGGCGAAGGCGGGUCCCUGGGCCGAACCUGACGCUGAGGCGCGAAGGCUAGGGGAGCGAACGGG
rnacentral:rRNA from 1 species